UAUUCCUUAGAAGAGCACUUCAGAAGAAGGCUCCUUGGAAGACAACUUCAUUGUUUUUUCUUCUACUGUGACCCCAGGUGCUUCAGCAUGCUCUUACACAGUGGUUACAUGGGAAAAGCCACCAAGCCAGACCUGCUGAGCUGACCCACUAAGGGAUGAGAAGGAUGAAGCCUGUGAUGGUGUUGUCAACUGUCUUGGGAUUACUCUGUCUGGUCAACAGACUAGCUAAACAACUGAAGACACUGCUGAUGAUGUCCUGUAAUCCUGAACCAGGUGUCAACAAAUGUCCUUUUUGAAGUGGGUAAUGGGGUCACACUGAAAAAGUGCUUUAGUCAAAUUUUAUGUUGUUGGGUUUCAGUAACUUGAACAGGAGGAGUGGGAGGAUGUGUGGUCUCUGUGGGCAGCUUGCUGUCUGUGGGAAUGAAGCAAAGCAGAUGCAACCCUUGUUUGGAGCUGAUCACAUUUCCUGGCAUGCUGAGAUAUUUGAAUUGUAGAUUUGUGGCUCUUCCUAGUUUGUUGGGGUUUGUUGUUUUUUUUUUUUUAAUUGAAGCAUCAAUUAUAAGGAGGCUUUUUUUACUUUUUUUAUAUAAACUAUAUAACAGCCAUGAAUUAUACCAGAGAAAAAUGGGAAUAAUUCCUCUGCUUCCAAACAUCAGUGAAAAUUACAGUUAGUAACUUGGGGUACCUUGUGCAGAUUUCCUCGCCUGACAAGGUUGUGCAUGAGUGAAUUUUACUUGUUUCCAAUGAUUAAGUGUUCCAGCAGGUGUUGAUAGCUAUGGCCUUGGUUCCCACAAACUAAAUGUCUUCAAGACAUCUAGGAGCAAUGAGAGUAUCUCAGCAAAGGUAAAAGGGAAUGUAAUUAAUUGUCUCUCAGUGUUCAUGGGCAUUCUCUCAAAAUAAAUGGUUCUAUUUGGCAAUCAGCACUUUCUCUCAGCUUGACAUCUGGUUGCCAGAUAUCAAGACUAGCUGUCCUUUUCAACACCAAAGAAGAGUCCUAACCCUCACAAUGACUGUACCAAUAAACCCCUAUCCCUGAAAGCUGGGUGCAAUCCUGUGUAUUACCUGAUCCCUGAGAGAAAACUCACCCAGCCAGUGUAAAAUCCUGGUUUACUGCCUUCACAGUGAAAAAACCUCUGAGACCACUUUUAGUUCAUUUAGGGCCUUUAGGUGUCCUCUAGAGAACAGGACGGGCUGAGCCCCUAGGACACACUGCUUAGCAGGUCUACAGGAACAUUUUGAAGAUCUUCUGCAUCAUUUCUUGGGAGUGUAAAGAGAGUGACCCUUGAGUAAGACACCGGUCCUCAACAUACUUGUGCCACAUAUAUGCCUUGGGGCACAAGAAUGAACUUGUGAAUGGAGAAUAUCCAAGAAGAUGAAAGCAAUUUGGUAAGGGAAUUCAGCAUUUCAGUUAGUGUUGACUAGAAUUGCUUGGCUGCAGCAGGGACUUCAGUCUUAACUUGCCUGGGGAUGAAAAUGGGAUUCUUUUUCACAGAAGCCUGGAGUCAGAAAGAACCUAUAGGUUUGCUGUUGACAAAGAGCUCUCCUAUCUGAAGAAUAUACUAAAACUAUCCCAGAGGAAAGAACUUCUGAUAAGAGUAGCAACAU